ensembl:snoRNA
AUUCUUUUGUGACUCCUAAGUGUGAUUGGGUUUCCACACUCAAACCUGAGUGUGAACCUUUUUACAACAUCAGCACAUUACCAGUCUGACA